rnacentral:piRNA from 1 species
UGUUUUUCUUUCUGAUAAAUU